GCACCCAUUAAAUUACGAUAACUACUCCUCGAGCAUGACGAUUUAUUUUGGUGUUGCGCCAUGAAUUUCUCCCAUCAGUCUCUGAACAUUUACUUCGUGUAUCUUCCUCCCUAAUUUCCUAUCUUUCCUGUUUAUCUCUCCUCUCUCUUUCUCAGAAAAAACUACCUUUCAUCCAUCUGCUUCAGGAAAAUACCACCAUGAUGAACUUCAUGAUCGUACCAAAACAUACGUAACAUGAAUAUCAUUCGAGAUUGGAUAGACAUAUGGGCGGGUUGAUGCUGCGUACAUAUCAAGAUGUGAUGCAUAGAUGGGGUAGUUGAUGCUAUUAACAUCUCAAGAGUCGGAUCUAAAAGGUCCUGGAACCUCCUCUAUUUCUCUCCAUCAUCAACAAACCACCUCAACCUUGUUGAAUGAAUCGGGAACCUAUGACUCAAGUUUUGGUAGUAUCAUGUUUCUUGAUCCUAUUUACAUGUGAGAGUUAAAUGAAGAUUAUGUAUUGGUUAAUUCAAAUUCAGAAACCAAACGAAGACUUCUCUUCAGAUCGAAGGCCCAAUUGCUGAUACAUGAAGAAAGAAGUCAAUCAGAUAGGCCAAUGAACAUACACUUUCUCCAUGAAAACAAGUUGCAAGAGAAAAGCCAAGCGUAACAUGAUAUCAGGCUGUCCUUGGCUAAUCAGUGAACUCAAGCUUGUGCCAACAAUGGCAAAGCAGCAAAAUCAGGCCAACUGGACUCAUACAAAAAUGACAGUCAAGUUGUUAACAUGGAGGCUGUUGUCCAUCUCAAACACAAUCAAGUCAAUAUCAACAAUGACAUAUAAUGGCAAAAGCAUGGUGACAGGUCCUAUUCAAGUUCAGCCACAAUAAGGUCAAUAGUUCUUGUAAGGGAGAAAGUAGUAAAAGUAGUAUUAUUGAAAUGGGAAAAAUAUCGUUUUGGCCAUUGUUUAGAUGGGCCCAUGUCUGUUUGGUCCUUUAGGAAAACGCCUUUACUGUUUGGUCCAUAAUUAUUUAAAAAUAUUAAACUGACAAAA